rnacentral:rRNA from 1 species
UUUAUUGGAGAGUUUGAUCCUGGCUCAGGAUGAACGCUGGCGGCGUGCCUAAUACAUGCAAGUCGAGCGAAUGGAUUAAGAGCUUGCUCUUAUGAAGUUAGCGGCGGACGGGUGAGUAACACGUGGGUAACCUGCCCAUAAGACUGGGAUAACUCCGGGAAACCGGGGCUAAUACCGGAUAAUAUUUUGAACCGCAUGGUUCGAAAUUGAAAGGCGGCUUCGGCUGUCACUUAUGGAUGGACCCGCGUCGCAUUA